UUUGCCUAUGAUGGUUUUUAAAUAUACUUUGAGAUUAAUCUCUAUGAAAAAAACUUAAAUCUGAGGCUUU